CUAUCCUAUGUUACCAGCGGGUAAUGCCGGGGACUCAUGGGAGACUGCCAGGGACAACCUGGAGGAAGGCGGGGAUGACGUCAAGUCAUCAUGCCCCUUAUGUCUUGGGCUACACACGUACUACAAUGGUCGGCAACAAAGGGCAGCGAAACCGCGAGGUGGAGCAAAUCCCAGAAACCCGGCCUCAGUUCGGAUUGCAGGCUGCAACUCGCCUGCAUGAAGUCGGAAUCGCUAGUAAUCGCAGGUCAGCAUACUGCGGUGAAUACGUUCCCGGGCCUUGUACACACCGCCCGUCACACCACGAAAGUUGGUAA
rnacentral:rRNA from 1 species